rnacentral:lncRNA from 1 species
UAUGGAGAUAAACCAUGGAAAGGGAUUUCAUUGUAAUACCCACGAUUGAGAUGGUUGGAGAUAAAGCCAUUAUCCAGUGAUAGUUCAUCAUGUUGAAGGAAUCCUGCUGUAUGUAUUUUAUAUAUUUUGAUAUGGAUAUGUGAUAUGCACCCUUAAUACAAUUCUAGUCUAUAACAGCUACCUAACAAUAUUUCAGAAUGAGCUUUUUCUAGUAUUCUGUGCCAUUAAAGAGUGGCCCCUUUGUACAUUAAUGAAAGCUUGUCCUUUAGAAUGAAUAGGAAGUCUAAGAAUUUGGCUAAAUACCAUCUUUCUGGAAGAGGAAAAAAUUAAUGGCAAAAUAUUAGAAAUAUAAUUGAUCAAAUGCAAUACUCAUUGUAGUCAAGAGUAAGUAAUGCAAAAAUCUGUAAUUCUCAUGAAAAACAAUAUUAAAAUUGUGUUCCCGGGAAGUUAGUAACAUUUUGACAUUUUUUCUCUAUUCUUUAAAUGGUUCAGAGCAACUAUUUAUUAAUUAGCAUUUUCUUUAAGAAAAACUAAUAUCGUUGUGGAGGAUUAACUUCACUUUGGAGUGUACUACUCCCUUAAAAGGACCAUUAAAAGGCUAUAAAAUUAAUUGUUUUCUACUAAUAAGUUAUUAUUUAGAAUCACUUAGUUUCAUCUACCAGAAAAAAAUGCUUUUUGAGUUAGAGGUUUUAUAUUAUCUCAGUCUUCUCAUCCAUGAUCAAUACUUACUCCAUUUUUGUUAUUAUAUCUGUUUCCUUCUGGUUCUCAUCUUAGCUCAAAAGAAAAAGGAUGAUUGAACAAAAUACCUUUUGAGUAGUCUCUCUGCUCCUCAAAGCACAUGUCUUCAUAAUUAUCUCAAAUUUGCAUAUUUAUUGUUAAAUAAAUAUAAGGGGAAUUUAUUGCAGUAUGCUGCAUUCUUUGCACUCUCUGUGUCUUGUUUGCAUCUUGCCUGUUUUGAUCGUUUUAGAUUAGAGGCACAUGAAUUAUCAUUUAUUUUAAGUGCUAUAUUAUAGUCAUUUUUGCAGAGAAAGAAAGCAGUCAAAAAACAGAUUGUCCAACUUCUUAUAAAUGAGAAUGUCACAAAUAAAAUGCCAGUUUGUUCACCUUGUCCUUUGCACUAACGUCAAGCCAUUCUCUUCGAUGCCUUUUUUGUAAUUAUGAGUAAUAGCCCAAAUAUUUUACAGCAGAGAGAUGAGUCACAAAGCGGAAGAACUAUAAAUACUUUUGUUCUCGAGAAACAAUGAAGCUGUAUAUUCUUUCACAUUCACCCACCACAUAUGUGUUUUAUUUAAGGUUAAGCUUUUUUAAAAACAACUUUCUCCUGCUUUAAGAGUUCCAAUCUCCAGUACAAGUUUUGUUUUCCAGUAAACUGUUUCAUUGUAUUUGAUGCUUCAUAAAUGUAUCUAAAUCUAGCUCAUCAUGCACUGCUAGCUACACCUAAUCAUACACACAUGUCUGAAUUACUCCACUCCUAUUUAAAGGAAAAGAACAAAAAGUAAGAAUGGCAGAUGUGUUCAUAAUUAAUAUCCUACUGGGUUAAUCAGUAGAUCCUCAGGAAUGCUAUGAGGGUUUUGAUGUAUUCAGAAAAUCACUGCCUUUAUCUAUAGACCUCUUUAAAGACAAACAUACAACAGUUAGUUUUUAGAAGAUGUGAUCCUUGCAAAUAAGAUAGUAAAUAAUAUUGUCACAGACUUGCCUCUUUGAAUAACCUAAUUCCAUGCUUGAUUUUAUAUGUUUAAGUGAGGAAUUUAUGGUUCAUAUUUACAGCCAGUGAUAUGUGCAAGGAUUGCUGUUUACUAACAUCACACUCAAAAUUUCUUGUAGACAUUUCAAGCAAUUUGAAGUAUAGUUCUUCUAGAAGUAACUAAAUAUAAACAAGAUGGGCACUUUUUUUAAGGAGAUUGAUAUUUCAGAAUUGUUGAUCACUCCUAUACUUGUGAAUGAGAGAAUAUAAGAGACAUGGUAAUUCACUGAAGGAGAAGAAGAAGAAGGAGAGCAUUGCAUUAUUGGAAAAACUCCAUCUUUAUAGCGAGACAAUACUGAGUUGAAAGCUCAGUCUCCCACUGUGCAACUCUAGGAAUUGCUUAAGAGCUCUGGUCUUUGGUUACCUCAUCUACUAAUGCAGAAUAAUAACACUUCUGUCUUAAGGUUUAGAGUGUUAAAAUAAAGCAGUACUUGGGACAUUGAAAAAUGCUGAAUUUAAAAGUCCUGUUUCAUGGGGAAUAUGAAACUUUCAUUCUAAAAAGACUGUACUGUAUGAAAGAUAAAUUUUAGUUAUAUUGUGGUCCACAUUUCAGUUUUGGAGUUAAUGUAUUCAGGUAUGUGCCUGUCACAAAAGGGUCGUGCAUUAAAUGUUGAGUGAAAACAUUGUGGCUUAGACAGAAAUCUUGGAAUUUAACUAGAAAUUUAUUUUUUUAAAAAAUGAAAGAAUAGGAAGAGGUUCAUCAGCUCUGUCUUGACUAUCUCUAGAUCUAUGAUUGAUGCAAUAUUACCUUUAAGUAAAAAAAAAAAAAGCUACAUAAUUAUUUUAGUUUUAUUGUAUCUUCUUAAGUAUGUUUCAAGUACUUUCAUUUGUGUUUGACUCUUCAAGAUCUUACCUUCACUACAACCCAGUAUUUCCAUUGCAAGUGAUAAUAUUGCAAUGGAAUAUUGCAGUCUUUCUGAAUAACAGAAUUUACAUUAUAUCAGUCCCCGAGAGGACCAGGGGCAUGGAAAGAUCAGGGUUUGGACACUUACACCCCCUUGUGUUUUGGGAGAGGUCAUGGCAACUCGCUGUCCCUAUGUGCAGCUUGCCUAGCAAGUAUCCUUGUGCCUGAAGGAGUGAGAUAUUAAAUAGCAAAUUAAAAAAGACAUUUCAAGCAAUUUGAAGUAUAGUUCUUCUAGAAGUAACUAAAUAUAAACAAGAUGGGCACUUUUUUUAAAGGAGAUUGGUAUUUCAGAAUUGUUGAUCACUCCUAUACUUGUGAAUGACAGAAUAUAAGAGACAUGGUAAUUCACUGAAGGAGGAGAAGAAGAAGCAGGAGAGGAUUGCAUUAUUGGAAAAACUCCAUCUUUAUAGUGAGACAAUACUGAGUUGAAAGCAAUUUGAAGUAUAGGGUUAAAAAUGAGAUUGAGAAGUAAAGCAAAAUGGGUUACAUUUUAGUACUUUUAACUUCAUUUUCCCCCAGUUAUUUUUGAACAAAGGGGCACCACAUUUUGUUUUUAUACUGAGGUUUGCAAAUUAGGCAGCUGGUUCCCAAACAUGUGGCAGAAUGGUCAGACACUUCAGCCUGAUCUCCUAUGCCUUCCUCUGAGGUUGCAUCUUAUAGAACCCAACUUGCCAGUCCCCUCUGCCUCUUUCUUUAACAAAUUUCUUUCUGUUUCCUACCUCAGGAACUCUAUACUUGCUAUUUCUUCCUUCCACUAUACCCUUCCUCCUUGUUCUUGAUUUCUAAGUAUAAGCAUCACUUCUUAAGAAAACCUUCUUUAACCAUGCUAACUGGAGGAGCUCUUCUCGCACAGAAGUUAUUGCUAUCACACCUCUCUCUUUUAUUUUCCUUAUAUAACUUAACUACUAUGUGCUUAUUUUUAAUCUACCAAUUUUGCUCAAUAGGAUGUAAAAUUCCAUGAGGAGAUAUUUUGUUUAUAUUAUUCAAAGUAAUAUACCUAUAUCAGCGGGUAGGGGUGGAAAAGUCCCAGGGCAUAGUAGGUACACAGUAAUUCCUUGCUAAAUAAACACAUGCUAUUGAUUCAUUCUAAAAAUUUAUGAAAACCUACCGUGGCAAAUAACACUAGGAUUUAAAGGGGAUAUCAAUGUGGCUCUUCUAGGAGUCUCUAAUCCAAUUGAGGAGAUGGAAGUAGAUAUAUAAUUAAAAAUUGUAGGUAACUUUAAUGGUUAAAAUUAAUGUUACAAUGUACCAUAAUAUUUCUUGGGUAGCAAUAUAAUUAAGUGGUUUAGAAAAGUUUGGGGCACAUAAGAUUACAAGAAACCCCAAUUUUUGUAUGGUUGUGUUUACAUGGAAGAGGUCAGAGACUCAGGAAUAUUAACCUAUGAAAAUCUUUAUUUUUUUCUCUAAAUUCAAUAGCUUUUUGGGGAACAGAUGGUGUUUGGUUUCAUGAAUAAUUUCUUUAAUGGCGAUUCCUGAGAUUUUGAUGAACCCAUCACGCCAGCAGUGUCCACUGUACCCAAUGUGUAGUCUUUUAUCCCUUGCCACCCCCACCUUUCCCUUCGAGUCUCCAAAGUCCAUUGUAUCAUUCUUAUGCCUUUGCACCCUCAUAGCUUAACUCCCACAUGUGAGUGAGAACGUACAAUGUUUGGUUUUCCAUUCCUGAGUUACUUCACUUAUAAUAAUAGUCUCCAGUUCCAUCCAGGUUGCUGUGAAUGCCAUUAUUUCAUUCCCCUUUAUGGCUGAGUAGUAUUCCAUUAUAUAUACAUAUAUCUAUCUAUCUAUCUAUCUAUCUAUCUAUCUAUCUAUCUAUGCAUCUAUCUAUCUAUAUAUCUAUAUCUAUAUAUAUAUAUCACAUUUUCUUUAUCCACUCAUUGAUUGAUGGGUAUUUGGGCUGGUUCCAUAUUUUUGCAGUUGCAAAUUGUGCAGCUAUAAACAUGCGUGGGCAGAUAUCUUUUUUGUAUAAUGGCUUCUUUUCCUCUGGGUAGAUAACUACUAGUGGGAUUGCUGGAUUAAAUGGUAGAUCUAUUUUUAGUUCUUUAGGGAAUCUUCACAGUGUUUUCUAUAGUGGUUGUACUAGUUUACAUUCCCACCAACAGUGUAAAAGUGUUCCCUUGUUACUGCAUCCCCACCAACAUCUAUUAUUUUUUAAUUUUUUUAUUAUGGCCAUUCUUAUAGGAGUGAGAUGGUAUCAUAUUGUGGUUGUGAUUUGCAUUUCCCUGAUAAUUAGUGAUGUUGAACAUUUUUCCAUAUGCUUGUUGGCCAUUUGUGUAUCUUCUUUUGAGAAUUGUCUAUUCAAGUCCUUGCCUACUUUUUGAUAAGAUUUUUUUUAAAUUUUAUUUCUUGCUGAUUGUUUGAGUUAUUUGUAGAUUCUGGAUAUUAGUCCUUUGUCAGAUGUAUAGAUUGUGAAGAUUUUCUCCCACUCUGUGGGUAGUCUGUUUACUCUGCUGACUAUUUCUUUUGCUGUGCAGAUACUUUUUAGUUUAAUUAAGUCCCAUCUGUUUACCUUUGUUUUUGUUACAUUUGCUUUUGGAUUCUUUGUCACGAACUUUUUGCCCAAGCCUAUAUGUAGAGGGGUUUUUCCAAUGUUAUCUUCUAUAAUCUUUAUGGUUUCAACUCUUAGAUUUAACUCUUUGAUCAUCUUGGGUUGAUUUUUGUAUAAGGUGAGAGAUGAGGAUCCAGUUUCAUUCUCCUAUGUGUGGCUUGCCAAUUAUUCUGGCACCAUUUGUUGAAUAAGGUGUUCUUUCUGCACUUUGUUUUUGUUUUCUUUGUCAAAAAUCAGUUGGCUGUAAGUAUUUGGCUUUCUUUCUGUGUUCUCUAUUCUGUUCCAUUGGUCCAUGUGCCUAUUUUUAUACCAGCACCAUGCUGUUUUGGUGACUAUGGCCUUUAUAGUAGAGUUUGAAGUCGGGUAUUGUGAUGCCUCCAAAUUUGUUCUUUUUGCUUAGUCUUGCUUUGGCUAUGCAGGCUCUUUUUUGGUUCCAUAUUAAUUUUAGGAUUCGUUUUUCUGGUUCUGUGAAGAAUCAUAAUGGUAUUUUGAUAGGAAUUGCAUUGAAUUUGUAGAUUGCUUUUGGCAGUAUGGUCAUUUUCACAAUGUUGAUUCUACCCAUCCAUGAGCAUGGGCUGUGUUUCCAUUUGUUUGUGUCAUCUAUGAUUUCUUUAAGCAGUAUCUUAUAGUUUUCCUUGUAGAGGUCUUUCAUGUCCCUGAUUAGGUAUAUCCAUAAGUAGUUAAUUAAUUAUUUUUGCAGGUUUGUGAAAGGGGUUGAGUUCUGGUUUUGAUUCUCAGCUUGGUCACUGUUAGUGUAUAGCAGAACUACUGAUUUAUGAUGCUAAUUUUGUAUCCUGAAACUUUGCUGAAUUCAUUUACCAGUUCUAGGAGCUUUUUGGAUGAGUUUUAAGGGUUUUCUAGGUAUUCGACCAUAUCAUCAGCAAACAACGACAGUUUGACUUCCUCUUUACCAGUUUGGUUGCCCUUUAUUUCUUUCUCUUGUCUGAUUGCUCUGGCUAGGACUUCCAGUACUACAUUGAAUAGAAGUGGUGAAAGAGUCUUAACUAUAGGAGCUAAGGUGAGGAGGGGCACUGGUCACAGGUUGUCAGGUUAAUGAUAAAGGAAUGGUCAAGCAGUGAAUAGUUUUUAAAACUAUUCUGGAAGCCAGAAGAGAAUAAGUAAAUUGAUGUGUGAUAAAGUAGAUAGGAUUUCAGCAUCUAGUUAUGUGCAGAAUAGCUUAGUUGUUAAAGGUCACCACAUACGCCUAGGCCAUCGGUGUAUGUAUGUGCUAUAUGUCAGUGUUUCCUGAAUCUGUACGAAGCUUAGCCUUGAAUUCACCACCCAAACUUUCAUGAUCCGUCUCUUGAUUCCAUCAUAAGCUCUUUGCUUUGGAAUUUAUUUUUACUUUUUUGGGAUUGACUUAUUCAUGUUGUUUCUUUGGUCCUGAGCCUUCUUCCCAUCAGAGGUGGUCUCUUUAAUUGCUUAUAAAUCCACACCACCUAUAGGUUCAUAAGCUGUAAGGCCCUAAAUUCCCACUCUGGCAAUACCACUAGGUUUCCUUUUACUCCAGUAGAGCAGUGUUAAGACUGGAAACUUGGCCAAUAAGUGACGAGAUGGACAGGAAAUGAAUGAUUCUGAAAUUACCAGGAUGGAUUUAAAAUCUAUUUUAAGUUCCAAUUGAAUGCAGCAAACAAGUAGCAGAUUUUGGAAGGAACAAUCCACAAUCCAGAAUUUUAGAAUCACACAAACAGUAAACUGGGUUAUGACCACUGAUUCCAGGAAAAAAUUAAAAAGUGCCACAUACUCUCUGUUUUGGUUUUAGGCAUUUUCUGGGAUCAGGUUUCCUUGAAGUAGAGCCUCAAUUAAGACAAUGCCUAAAAGUAGAAAAGAGAGUGCUAUGGUUUAAACAUUUGUCCCCUCCAAGAGUCAGGUUGAAAUUUAAUUGGUAUUGUAACAGUAUUAAAAGAUGGGGCUAUUAAGAGAUGAUCAAGCCAUGAAGGCUUUACCCUCAUGAAUAGAAUUAUUGCCAUGAUAAAAGGGCAAAUUUGGCCUUCUUUUGCUUCUCUCUUGACUCUCUUCUACUUUUCUGCCAUGUGAGGAACAGUGUUCCUGCCCUCACAAGGAUGCAGCCUUCAAGGUGUCAUCUUGGAAGCAGAGACUGGGCCCUCAUCAGACACCAAACCCGUUGGCAUCUUAAUCUUGGAUUUCCUAGCCUCCAGAACCGCUCGAGUGAUCCUCCCAUGUCAGCCUCCUGAGUAACUGGGACUACAGGUGCACACCAUUAUGCCCAGGUAAUUUUCACCUUUUUGUAGAGAAGGGGUCUAACUAUGUUGUCCAGGCUGGUCUCAAAUUCCUGGUCUCAAGCAAUCCUCCUGCCUUGGCCUCCAAAAUUUCUGGGAUUACAGGCAUUGGUAACCAUGCUCAGGCCCUCUGUUUAUUUUUUAACUGCAUGUUUUUAACAUUAAACCAUAUAUUGCUUGCUUUUGCAUGUUGUCUUUAACUUUCCAUAAGUGGAUUAAUACCAUAUGUAUUCAGGACUUAGUGUUGUUCGCUCAGUAUUAGGUUUCAGGGGUUUAGAUAUAUUGAUGCAGGUAAUUAAUUGACUUUCCAUUGCUCUCUAGCAUUUCAUUGUAUAAUCACACCCUGAUUUACUUGUAUAUUAUAUUUUUAAUUGCUACUUGCUAUUAUAAACAAUGCAGUUUUGAAUGUUCUUAAUUACAUCUCCUGAUGUGUGUGUGUACAUAUUUCUUUAGGAUUUAAACCUAGAAAUUGAAUUUGUGGAUCAUAAGAAUUGUAACUGUUCAAAUAUA